AGAGCGGGAGCCCGGAGAUGGGCACUGAGAUAAGGGCCCAGGCCCUACGGGGCGCAGCAGUUGCGAAAACUCCGCAAUGCGCGAAAGCGUGACGGGGCUACCCCGAGUGCCGUCCGCUGAGGACGGCUUUUCCACGGUGUAAGGAGCCGUGGGAAUAAGGAGAGGGCAAGCCUGGUGUCAGCCGCCGCGGUAAAACCAGCUCUCCGAGUGGUGGGGACGAUUAUUGGGCUUAAAGCGUUCGUAGCCGGCUCAGCAAGUCUUCCGUUAAAUCCAGCGAUUCAAUCGUUGGACUGCGGGAGAUACUGUUGGGCUAGGGGGCGGGAGAGGUCGACGGUAUUCUUGGGGUAGGGGUAAAAUCCUAUAAUCCCGGGAAGACCACCAGUGGCGAAGGCGGUCGGCU
rnacentral:rRNA from 1 species